GCUCGCAUGUAUACAAUGGCUGCAGCUUUUACAGCAAAAUUUCAUGAUUUUGUGGUUUCAUAUCUCCGGUAUAAUUUUGAUUGGAGCUUUCAAACUUUGGAAUAUGACAAUAAGAGAGACAUUGAUGGUCGGGCCUGGAAUUGUUGCUACAAUGUCAAUGGACGGUGGACUUCAGCUCCAGAAGCUAGCAUCACACGACAAGUUAGUCUGGAUUAUAUGGGCGAUGUCUUUUUAUAUUUCUCAGAUGAAUGAUGGUGAUGGAAUAAGCAUUUAUGAAGCCGUGAAACAGCAAAGUAUUUUAAUCUCUAUAAGAUUGGUUAGUGACUUCUCUACAGAUAUGUGCUCGAUUUGUGAGACUCAUUUUUCCCAGAUUUGACAUUUUGUGAGAUCUUCUUGAUCCAAUGCAGGUCCAGGUUCUCGCAAAGUUUUCCUUUGAAAGUCACGUAAAAUGUUAUCCAAGCUGAGAGCAAAAAGGCGACAAAAACAAUAACAAUGAAGAUAUUGAAAUGUCCAACCACUGGAGUUGAUCCUUUGUCACGGGAAAUGUUGAAGAAGUAUGUUAUUUAUGCGAAAGAUAAAAUAAAUAAAAGGUUAAAUGAUAUGGAUGAAGAUAAAAGAGUAUUUGCUUACUCGAGACGCAAAUCUAUGGUAAUUAUGGGCGUGAUAAUUUGGUCAAUAGGCUACGGUAGUUGAAAUCAUGAUCUGUGUAACUAUACAUUUUAAGGUGGUUCUCUCAAUAAACUAUGGUAUAUGUAA